rnacentral:rRNA from 1 species
AGUGAACGCUGGCGGUAGGCCUAACACAUGCAAGUCGAACGGCAGCACAGGAGAGCUUGCUCUCUGGGUGGCGAGUGGCGGACGGGUGAGGAAUACAUCGGAAUCUACUUUUUCGUGGGGGAUAACGUAGGGAAACUUACGCUAAUACCGCAUACGACCUACGGGUGAAAGCAGGGGAUCUUCGGACCUUGCGCGAUUGAAUGGGCCGAUGCCGGAUUAGCUAGUUGGCGGGGUAAAGGCCCACCAAGGCGACGAUCCGUAGCUGGUCUGAGAGGAUGAUCAGCCACACUGGAACUGAGACACGGUCCAGACUCCUACGGGAGGCAGCAGUGGGGAAUAUUGGACAAUGGGCGCAAGCCUGAUCCAGCCAUACCGCGUGGGUGAAGAAGGCCUUCGGGUUGUAAAGCCCUUUUGUUGGGAAAGAAAUCCAGCUGGUUAAUACCCGGUUGGGAUGACGGUACCCAAAGAAUAAGCACCGGCUAACUUCGUGCCAGCCGCCGGCGUAA